UACGUAGGGGGCAAGCGUUGUCCGGAUUUAUUGGGCGUAAAGAGCGUGUAGGCGGCUUGGUAGGUCCGCUGUGAAAACUCGAGGCUCAACUUCGAGAUGUCGGCGGAAACCAUUCGGCUAGAGUCCGGAAGAGGUGGGUGGAAUUCCUAGUGUAGAGGUGAAAUUCGUAGAUAUUAGGAAGAACACCGGUGGCGAAGGCGGCCAUCUGGAUCAACACUGACGCUGAGGCACGAAAGCGUGGGGAGCAAACAGG
rnacentral:rRNA from 1 species